rnacentral:lncRNA from 1 species
AUGCUAGCAUGUUUCAAAAUAUUUUUGUUCCCAAUUUUUAUUCUUAUUUUUAAGCUUCACUUUAUUUGGAGAUGAGACCCAAAGGGAAAAAUAAAAGCUAGCAGCUGUUUAAUUCCUAGAGCAACUUUAUAGUUUAUAGACCAGGUUCUUGGUCUGUUUGGCCAUGGCAGAAUUUAUGAAAAUCUAAAACAUUAAUGAUGCCUAAAAGGCAGGCUGCCACACAGAGAUGAACACACAGCCUGGUCUGAGAGCAGAAUUAUAGAAACAUGAAACCUCAGCAUUUUGAAGAUCAUUGAAAUAUCAUUUUUGUAUGUGUUCAGAAUAUUUCACAAAUAAUGUUUAGAUGGAGCCCAUAUAAACCCAAUUCACAUUAGAACUGAAGUAUCUUUUCUGUAUAUAAAACUGUUGCAACCAGACAGUAAAAAUAAAAANNNNNNNNNNNNNNNNNNNNNNNNNNNNAAGAAAACACUGUGGAAAAAAUAAAGAAGUAAAAGCAGUAUUAGUAGUGCUUCCUGUCUCUUUUUAUAGUAACAAAAAAUACGAAGCACAGAGAAUUUGAUUAUAUAUGCACAAGAUGUGCUCUUAUGGUAUAUACUUUAUAUCUGCCAUUACAGACCAACAAAGAAUCUUUCACUGUCAAACUGAGUUAGCUCUGGUGCAUAUCAUGGAUGGCUUUAAAGCUAUUUUCCAUUAAUAAUAAGGUAUUUAAAAUAUGAAAAUAAAUGAUUACAGUAUAUACCACUGGAGCUUUCAGUUUGCUGUUUUCUGUGAAUUAAAUCCUAUUUAUAAGGUGGUGUUAUCCAAAGUGAAAGGGAAGAAAAUGAUCCAGAAAAUCAGGAAUGUUUUCACAUUCACAACUGAAAACCUCAUUUUCUCCAAUGAAGUGAGUCAGCACUUUAGAAUUAAAAAUUCUACUAUGCUCAAGAUACAUUUUAAAUGGGGGUCACUCAGUAAAGUGAAAAGUGCAGUGUAUUUGCAUUUCAGUGUCCUUGGACUCUCUCAGGUGUGGGAGCUGAGUGAUGAGUAG